UGUCAACAGCACUAAAGAUAUCUGGUCUGCAGAACUACCAUACUCUGUGGGCAUAAGCUUUGUAUCAUGCAGAGCAGCAAACCAAAGGGAUAGCACGACUCCAAAGCAAGAGCUCCACUGCGUCUCUGGGUGUCCUGCAAGGCCAGGAAAAGCUCCUGUGCUCAGCUAUCCAGGCACAGCGGGUUGUGGUAGAAUAGAACAGGGAGAGUUAAAAGAGCACUAGUGGAGCCAUUGGUUCCAUGGCACUGUGCUGCCUAGGAGAAGAUGGAUGGUUUUUUGCUGCUGGAGACUCCCAACAGCAGAAGUCAUUCUCUGAUCCUUGCCCUGGCCCUUUUGGCAGUCCCACCUCAGAGGAGUGCCUCCCCACACAAUGUGCGAAGGAUGCUCCAGAGCUUGCCAGCUUCUGUGUUUUAAUAAUCUGCUCCCCUAGAAGAAGGCAAUGCUCCAUGAAUUUCUUCCUAAUGAGAAUGUUGCCUCAACACCUGGCCCUGAUCUGACUUUCCCUUCCCUGUCAUCACGGCCUUGAGAGGCAGAGCAGCUUUUUGGAACAUGUCCUACUCUCUUCCCCUUGGGUCUUUUAAUUUGCAUUUCCAAUAUUCCUCCUUUCUCAUGUUUCUGAACUUCAGACUGGCUUUUCUUGUUGGCAGUCUUAGGGACAUGGAUUAAAAA